rnacentral:rRNA from 1 species
GACGAACGCUGGCGGCGUGGAUUAGGCAUGCAAGUCGAACGGUAUCAUCCUUUCGGGGGUGAGAGAGUGGCGAACUGGUGAGUAACACGUAGGUUAUCUACCCUCAAGACGGGGACAACCCAGGGAAACUUGGGCUAAUACCGGAUGUGAGCAACUUUUAGUUGUUUGAAAGGUGGCGUAAGCUGUCGCUUGGGGAUGAGCCUGCGUCCUAUUAGUUAGUUGGUGAGGUAACGGCUCACCUAGGCAAUGAUAGGUAGGCGGCCUUAACGGGUGGUCGCCCACACUGGGAUUGAGAUACGGCCCAGACUCCUACGGGAGGCAGCAGUCGAGAAUAGUCUACAAUGGUCGGAAGACUGAUAGUGCGACGCCGCGUGAACGAUGAAUCCCUUCGGGGUGUAAAGUUCUUUUAUAUGUGAGCAGUGCUUCUUAUAUUAACAGUAUGGGGAAGAGAUAUUAGCAUAUGAAUAAGCAACGGCUAACUCCGUGCCAGCAGCCGACGGUAAACG